rnacentral:misc_RNA from 1 species
ACUUGUUAAGUUAAUAUCAAAAGAAAAGGUACUUGCUUUCGUUGAAGAAACAGCUAGACUUUUGGAAUAUGAAAGCGGUGGGAUUUUAGUGGCAAUAGAAAGAGUGCCAAAAGGUUAUGCUCUUAUUUUCUACCGUGGGAAGAACUAUAGGCGGCCUAUCAGCCUCAGGCCAAGGAACCUUCUGACAAAAGCAAAAGCACUAAAACGUAGAGUGGCA